UACGGCUAUAUAAUACUGAAAACACCGGUUUGCGUUCGAUCACCGAAGUUAAGCAAGAUCGUGCCUGGUCAGUACUUAGAUGGGUGACCGGUUGAACAUCCCAGGUGCUGUAAG